ACUAGAUGGACCUUUGUCGGCAAGACACCUGUCCUGUAAGCGAGGGAUAGUUCCUGUGCCUGCUGCCACCUCUCUUCCAGACCACCCUGACUCCAGAUGGACCCUGUUCCCCAAAGUACCACUAACCCGAGGUGUCGCCCAUGGUGGAUGAUUAGUGAAGAUGUUGGGGGUCAUUGUGAGUGCUGGGGAAGUCAUUCAGGCCAGAAAACAACUUGAAAGAUGACCUUAGACAUCCUAGUCCUGGAUUCUUGUCUGUUUCCACGUUGGUGCCUUUCUCACUGGCUGACCUCUUUCCAAGUCCUUCCAAGACCCUCUUGUUGCUCAGUCGUGUCCGACUCUUGCGACCGCAUGGACCGCAGCCUGCCAGGCUCCUCUGCCCUUGGGAUUCUCCAGGCAAGAAUACUGGAGUGGGUUGCCAUUUCCUUCUCCAGAAGAUUAACUGUCUUAAAACAACCAAGGUGAUGCUAGUCAGACCACUGAUGACCAAUCUGAAGAUGACUGUUAGAGAUGACUGUGCUGUUUCUGGAUGUUGCCCACCUCCGACUCUGCCUGUAAACUUUCUC
ensembl:lncRNA